AGAGGAACUGGACACCAGGAGCCUCAUACCAGGACUGCCCAGCCGAGCCACUCGAUUCCUGACCCACAUGGCCCUUGAGAUGACAAGUGAUUGAUUGCUGCUUAAAGUCACUGAGUUCUGGAAUAAUUUACAUCAUGGCAAUAGUUCCAAUAUUCAGUAUCAGGCCUGGUCCUCCUAAUCUACUGGAGAAGAGUUGGUUAUGGCAUGGCAUCUAACAGUCAUCUCUUCUUAAUACAAAUGAUAAUAAAUUUCACUGCUAAGAAGACAAUCAUCUGAAAAAAACAGACAUUUGCUUAUGUUUUAAAGUCAUAAUAGCAAACUGGGGCUCUCUUCAACAUCUGGAUUCAUCUCAGAGCACUGGCAAUCUGUGUUUAACAGCAGUCAUGUCUUUACCAGAUGUAGAAAGAAUGUUCUCUUCUUUUGGACUUACCUAAAUAUCAUUUGGAAAUUGGAAGAACAGGAAAGCAUAUCCUUUUUCACUAACUAUAAAAAUAAUUUGGAAGGAGAAGGAAACAAAAAAAACCUUGAAGUUUUCUAUGCUGGUCUACGUGGUCUUACAAUGAAUCUCAGAGCAACGGUUUAUGACUUAAAUUAUAUGCUGUGUUCCUUAGCAUACUUUUUCUUCAAAAACUAGUAAUUCUAAAUUGUAUAAUUCUUGACUAUGAUAAAAGAGCCCAUUUCUUGACCAUGUCAUUUAUACUGGACUUUUGUUACUGAUGGGGAAAAAUCCAGAAUUUGUAAUAAUUAUGUCUUGGAUAUGCAAAUGGUUGAUUAUUUUCCUAACAAUUCCCAAAAUAUCCACAUCAUAAAGCAGAAUUAAAGAUGGUUUGCCUCUGA
rnacentral:antisense_RNA from 1 species